rnacentral:rRNA from 1 species
GACGUAGGGGACAAGCGUUAUCCGGAUUUACUGGGCGUAAAGCGCCCGUAGGCGGCUAUGUAAGUUGGCUGUGAAAGCUCCCGGCUUAACUGGGAGAGGUCAGUCAAAACUGUGUAGCUAGGGGCUGAGAUAGGCGAGCGGAAUUCCCGGUGUAGUGGUGGAAUGCGUAGAGAUCGGGAGGAACACCAGUGGCGCAAGCGGCUCGCUGGUUCAGCCCUGACGCUGAGGGGCGAAAGCGUGGGGAGCGAACGGG